rnacentral:rRNA from 1 species
AUUGAACGCUGGCGGCAGGCCUAACACAUGCCAGUCGAGCGGAUGAAGGGUGCUUGCUCCUGGAUUCAGCGGCGGACGGGUGAGUAAUGCCUAGGAAUCUGCCUGGCAGCGGGGGAUAACGUCCGGAAACGGGCGCUAAUACCGUAUACGUCCUUAGGGAGAAAGUGGGGGAUCUUCGGACCUCACGCUAUCAGAUGAGCCUAGGUCGGAUUAGCUAGUUGGUGGGGUAAAGGCCUACCAAGGCGACGAUCCGUAGCUGGUCUGAGAGGAUGAUCAGUCACACUGGAACUGAGACACGGUCCAGACUCCUACGGGAGGCAGCAGUGGGGAAUAUUGGACAAUGGGCGAAAGCCUGAUCCAGCCAUGCCGCGUGUGUGAAGAAGGUCUUCGGAUUGUAAAGCACUUUUAGUUGGGAGGAAGAGCAGUAAGUUAAUACCUUGCUGUUUUGACGGUACCAACAGAAUAAGCACCGGCUAACUUCGUG